AGUGAACGCUGGCGGUAGGCCUAACACACGCAAGUCGAACGGCAGCACAGGAGAGCUUGCUCUCUGGGUGGCGAGUGGCGGACGGGUGAGGAAUACAUCGGAAUCUACUCUGUCGUGGGGGAUAACGUAGGGAAACUUACGCUAAUACCGCAUACGACCUACGGGUGAAAGCAGGGGACCUUCGGGCCUUGCGCGAUUGAAUGAGCCGAUGUCGGAUUAGCUAGUUGGCGGGGUAAAGGCCCACCAAGGCGACGAUCCGUAGCUGGUCUGAGCGGAUGAUCAGCCACACUGGAACUGCGACACGGUCCAGACUCCGACGGGAGGCAGCAGUGGGGAAUAUUGGACAAUGGGCGCAAGCCUGAUCCAGCCAUACCGCGUGGGUGAAGAAGGCCUUCGGGUUGUAAAGCCCUUUUGUUGGGAAAGAAAUCCAGCUGGCUAAUACCCGGUUGGGAUGACGGUACCCAAAGAAUAAGCACCGGCUAACUUCGUGCCAGCCGCCGCCGUAA
rnacentral:rRNA from 1 species